rnacentral:piRNA from 1 species
UACUUUCCUGAGAUGAAGUAGCAAGGGUG